CAGGAUGAACGCUAGCUACAGGCUUAACACAUGCAAGUCGAGGGGCAGCAUGGUCUUAGCUUGCUAAGGCCGAUGGCGACCGGCGCACGGGUGAGUAACACGUAUCCAACCUGCCGUCUACUCUUGGACAGCCUUCUGAAAGGAAGAUUAAUACAAGAUGGCAUCAUGAGUCCGCAUGUUCACAUGAUUAAAGGUAUUCCGGUAGACGAUGGGGAUGCGUUCCAUUAGAUAGUAGGCGGGGUAACGGCCCACCUAGUCUUCGAUGGAUAGGGGUUCUGAGAGGAAGGUCCCCCACAUUGGAACUGAGACACGGUCCAAACUCCUACGGGAGGCAGCAGUGAGGAAUAUUGGUCAAUGGGCGAGAGCCUGAACCAGCCAAGUAGCGUGAAGGAUGACUGCCCUAUGGGUUGUAAACUUCUUUUAUAAAGGAAUAAAGUCGGGUAUGGAUACCCGUUUGCAUGUACUUUAUGAAUAAGGAUCGGCUAACUCCGUGCCAGCAGCCGCGGUAAUACGGAGGAUCCGAGCGUUAUCCGGAUUUAUUGGGUUUAAAGGGAGUGUAGAUGGAUAUUUAAGUCAGUUGUGAAAGUUUGCGGCUCAACCGUAAAAUUGCAGUUGAUACUGGAUAUCUUGAGUGCAGUUGAGGCAGGCGGAAUUCGUGGUGUAGCGGUGAAAUGCUUAGAUAUCACGAAGAACUCCGAUUGCGAAGGCAGCCUGCUAAGCUGCAACUGACAU
rnacentral:rRNA from 1 species